UGCUAGGAGGCUGGAGAGGCUAGUGAGA
rnacentral:misc_RNA from 1 species